UACAGAGGUCCCAAGCGUUGUUCGGAUUCACUGGGCGUAAAGGGUGCGUAGGUGGUUGGGCAAGUCUGAUGUGAAAUCUCCGGGCUUAACCCGGAAAUGGCAUUGGAAACUGCCUGGCUAGAGUGUUGGAGGGGGGACUGGGAUUCUCGGUGUAGCAGUGAAAUGCGUAGAUAUCGAGAGGAACACCAGUGGCGAAGGCGAGUCCCUGGACAACGACUGACACUGAGGCACGAAAGCUAGGGGAGCAAACAGG
rnacentral:rRNA from 1 species